UGGGGAAUAUUGGACAAUGGGCGCAAGCCUGAUCCAGCCAUGCCGCGUGAGUGACGAAGGUCUUCGGAUUGUAAAGCUCUUUUGGCGGGGACGAUAAUGACGGUACCCGCAGAAUAAGCCCCGGCUAACUUCGUGCCAGCAGCCGCGGUAAUACGAAGGGGGCUAGCGUUGUUCGGAAUUACUGGGCGUAAAGCGCACGUAGGCGGACUGAUAAGUCAGGGGUGAAAUCCCGGGGCUCAACCUCGGAACUGCCUUUGAUACUGUUAGUCUCGAGUCCGGAAGAGGUGAGUGGAAUUCCUAGUGUAGAGGUGAAAUUCGUAGAUAUUAGGAAGAACACCAGUGGCGAAGGCGGCUCACUGGUCCGGUACUGACGCUGAGGUGCGAAAGCGUGGGGAGCAAACAGGAUUAGAUACCCUCGUAGUCCUGAGCGGGCUGGCAAGGCGCAU
rnacentral:rRNA from 1 species